rfam:Candidatus Peregrinibacteria bacterium RIFCSPLOWO2_02_FTLL_39_10 rifcsplowo2_02_scaffold_15313, whole genome shotgun sequence.
UGGGGAGUCGCCAAGUGGUAAGGCAUUGCCCUCUGGAGGCAACAUUCAGGGGUUCGAAUCCCUUCUCCCCAG